UGGGGAAUUUUGGACAAUGGGCGCAAGCCUGAUCCAGCAAUGCCGCGUGAGUGAAGAAGGCCUUCGGGUUGUAAAGCUCUUUUGUCAGGGAAGAAACGGCUCCAGCUAAUAUCUGGGGCUAAUGACGGUACCUGAAGAAUAAGCACCGGCUAACUACGUGCCAGCAGCCGCGGUAAUACGUAGGGUGCAAGCGUUAAUCGGAAUUACUGGGCGUAAAGCGUGCGCAGGCGGUUUUGUAAGUCUGUCGUGAAAGCCCCGGGCUCAACCUGGGAAUUGCGAUGGAGACUGCAAGGCUUGAAUCUGGCAGAGGGGGGUAGAAUUCCACGUGUAGCAGUGAAAUGCGUAGAGAUGUGGAGGAACACCGAUGGCGAAGGCAGCCCCCUGGGUCAAGAUUGACGCUCAUGCACGAAAGCGUGGGGAGCAAACAGGAUUAGAUACCCCUGUAGUCCCUGAGCGGGCUGGCAAGGCGCAU
rnacentral:rRNA from 1 species